ensembl:lncRNA
UGGCGCCCACCUGCCGUUUUCGCUUCGUCACGCCCCUCUUGGAACAACCAAUCGGAAAACGAAGUCCUUUAAGGGCCAAAAGAAGAAAAAGGACGGCGAUUUUGAUUGGCUGAUUGGAAGAGUCAAGUACAAUCUCUGGCUUGACCCUGGGGCUGAGGCUCCGGGAUCUCGCCCAAUUUGGAAAAGGUUGGAAUUUGGCCAUCAAGGGAUAGGAGCCCUAACCACUGGGCCACCAAGGAAUUCCCCACAAUGCCUUCUAAAGUUCUGCAUGAAGAAGCAUCCUGUUUACCAAAUGUUUACUGGACAGAGAAAAAGAAAGAGGUUCUUAGAGACCUUUUCUCCACAAGAAAGGCCUCCAAUGCUAGGAAUGGUCAGCCAGGCAACAUAACAGUGAUUAUAACACUGAAUUCUGGCUUUAUUGAGCACUUACCUUUUUCUAAGCAGCAUUCGAAAUACUUUCUAUUCAUCAACUCAUUUAAGCCAACAACUAUACAAGGAACAAGGGAAAUACCUUUUUUUUUUUUUUUCUUUAAAGGUUUACUGAAGGGCCAACCAAAGAGAACAGGCAGCUUUUGCUUAAAAAACCUGAACUUGAAGAUACCAUUAUUAGCUCCAUUUUGCGGGUUUGGAAUCUAAGCUGAGAGAUGUUGGUUGGGGUGUGAAUCCAGGUUGUCUGGACUCCAGAAUGUGAGCGCUUAAUGUCACUCUCUGAAAGCCAUGGUUUCAGACUGCCCUGGUGAUCACGUGGUUAAGAAUCUGCCUGCCAAGGCAGAGGACAUGGGUUCCAUCCCUGAUCCCCCAUGCAGAGGAGCAACUAAGCCCAUACACUGCAGCUACUGAAGCCCGUGAGCCCUAGAGCCUCUGUUCCACAACAAGAGAAGCCGCCAAGAUGAGAAGCCAGCACACCACAACUAGAGAGUGGCCCCUGCUCACUGCAACCAGAGAAAGCCUGAGUGCAGCAACAGAGACUCAGAACAGCCAAAAAUAAACAAAUACUUUUUUAAAGGUAUAGUUAUACAACAUAGUAAAUCAACUAUACUUCGAUAAAAAGUUAAAUAAAAAAAUAAAAGGUGUAUUUCACAGUGAAGGGGCUUAAUUUCUUCUGUGUUAAAAACAAAGAUCCAUUCAAUAAAAUAUUUAGUAAUACAAGAACAAGAAAAACAAUUUUAUUGGAAAUAUUCUAACACGUUUUCUGAACAAAUAAUCAAAAAAUAAAUAAGGACAUAAAAAGAUAGGAACAUAUGAAAUUUUGACCUUGAAAACAAAUAGUGUACCUUCAUUUCAAGUUUCAUGGACAGUGACAAACUGCAAUAAAUAUUAAACUACAGAGAAUAUUUUGGUAAAUUUUGAAAAAUAGAAAUUCUAGAAGUCAGUCUCAGAUCAAAAUGCAGUACAACUAACAGUAAUAUAAAACACACCACUCAGAAACUGAAAACCAUAAAUAACAUCUCAAAUUACCCUUAGGACAAGAAGUAAAUCAAGGAUAAAAAGCAAACUAUUUGGGGAUAAUGAUAAUCAUAAUAAAAGGAUACAGUCAAAUCUACCUACAGAGGCAAAAUUAAUAGCAUUCAAUGCUUUUAGUGUCAAAAAAAGAGAAAAAAACGAAUGAACUAAGCAUGCAAGUUGAGAUCUCUGAAAAGAGUAUAAAAUACUCCCCUACUCCCCAAAUGGGAAAUAUUUAAAAUAGAAAACAGAAAAAAAAGAACGCCCAGAAGCCUAAGAGGAGGAGAGAUGUACCUUCUGGCCUGUGGAGAGGGAAGCGCCUUGGUGCUCCACAUGAACUUGGUCCUCUGACCUGUGCCCUUGAACAUCCCCCUUCUCGCUCCGCCUGACAUGCUCGUCCACUCCCAAGGCCUCAGCUCCCUUCAGCCCCUUGUCUGUGUCAGCACCGCAGCUCCUAGCGUUGUGCCUCUCUGGUGGCAUCUACAUGUGCCCUACAAUAAAGUCUCUCCACCUGAGACCCCCUUUCUAGCAGAUGUGAGACCUUCGGAACAGGAGCAUGUCCUCCUCAUCGUCAUAUCCUCAGGGCCUGGGAUGUCGUGGGUCCUUGGCUGAAUGGACGCGUGAGCAGGGGGCUCAAGCACGGAUUCCCGAGUUGCAUUUGGUCCCAAGCUGCUUCUGCUCCCCGCGCUGCCCCGUCACAGGCCCCAAGACUAUGUCAUGAGGCCUAGAAUGAAUCAUUCCCAUGGUCAGAGGACUAACAAAGGAGGAUCUGCAUGCUGAGAUGUUUAGGCAAC